GACAUAAUUCAACUUCUAAUACUAUAGCAGAUGGGAAGUCUUGGUCAUAAGACUUGGAGUCACACAGCUGAGAAGGAAGGGAAGAACAAGUUCUCAGUGACAUCUGAGUCAUGCUCGGGACUUUGCAUUCUUCCCAUUCCCAAAGUACAAGCUUCUCCGUGUGUGUCUAUCUCUGUGUUUGUAUCUUCCUCUGUCUCUCUGUCUCUCUUCCCCUUCCUCCUUCCUUCUCUCCCUCACUCUUUCUCCUUCCUUUCUCCCCUCCUUCUCCCUUCUCCCCCUCUGGUUCCCAAAUUCAAUUCUUCUUUUAGUGCUUUUUAAAAGCUGCUAAGCUCCUUGGAGUGCGAGCUGCUUUCUCUUCGCUUCAGUCAGCAUAUGGAUCUAAAGAGCUUUCAGGUUCGACCGCCACCCCACCCUGACCCAAGCUUACUUCCUGAAAAUAACCUUUGUCCGUGUGGAUUUCCACAUUGUCUUCUGAAGAAGGCAUGGUCUGUCAACAAUAAGACUGUCAACUCCUUUGCUGCCAGAAUAAAUGUGUCCUGGACUGGAUCCAGGAUUUCUGGGGCAUCCCAGGACACGCCAGUAGCUGAUACUGAGAUGAGAUGGCCAAAGGCCACCAGAGAGAGAGUCACAACUGAGCAAGCCAUUGCUUUAUCAUCACAACUGUUAAUGGCCAACCUCAGAGGGUACUCAAGAACUUCUCAAUCCACCCUUGGCCAGCUCCCAUUAUUCUUCAAAGACUACUCUAAGCCUCCACUGCAAGCCCAUAGUUCAAGUCCCUAUCCUGUGCUUUUACAGAUAUCCUUCCUGCUGACUAAAGCAAGAACAUUGAAGCCAUNNNNNNNNNNNNNNNNNNNNNNNNNNNNNNNNNNNNNNNNNNNNNNNNNNNNNNNNNNNNNNNNNNNNNNNNNNNNNNNNNNNNNNNNNNNNNNNNNNNNAGUCUUUAACUCCUUCCUCUGUUCUCCUUUUCUUUAUCACAGAGUGUAUUUACAACCCUCUCAAAAUAGAACAGUCUCUAAUUUCCUGUGCAUGUGAGCCAUUCUCCUGUCGGGUUGUCCUCAACCUCUAACGACAAUCCAUUCACCCAGGUCUCCAGGAACCACUCACUUAGCAAGCACAAUAGAACACUUUCAGCUCUUAUCUUAUGGGGGUCCUACAGUGAUCGACUCUUGUAUGUGUUACUUGCCUUGUUGCUUGGGACAAAAUACUCUAACAAAAGGAGCUUAAGGAGGGGUUUAUCUUAGCUCAAAGUCCCAAGUUACAACUGUCAGGGAGGGAAAGGCAUGGUAAGGUCAGCAGCCUGAGGCAGCUGGUCCUGGUGUGUUCACAGUCCAGCAGCAGAGGGACCCCAUCCUAGUUGCAUGAUGGACCCCCCCCUUUCCAAUUAAUCUAAUCUAGAUAAUUCCUCUCAGACAUACCCCCAAAAUUUGUUUCCAUGGUAAUUUCAAAUGCCAGCAAGUUAAAAAGUAAGAUUAAGCACUCUUUUUUUUAGCUUUUUGAAGCCAUGUCCUCUGGGUCCUUCUGCUUAUCCUUUCAGAUAGAGAUGCCGCUCUCAGUUUUGAGUCAGACCACUGUCUUAUUACUCCAGAAGCUCCCUCAAGAGCGGCCUAUUCAGUCAGGAUCACUAACCUUCAUCUCUGCCUGUCACCUUAGGAUGUCGGCUGCCUAGGAAGCAGCUCCCAGUCAUGAGGCCACUGUCAACCUUCAUGGCCCAGUUAAAAGUCAUCCUCCUGAUGGGCUGUGUUUUCUGAGUGAGAUGGAAACUCUAUCCAAGGAAGGACUCUGAAAAAUUGUCUUUGACUCUGUAUCCCCCACACCUUAUGCCUAAACUAAAACUGAAUAGCACCAUCCUCCUUCCUACGCAUGCCUAGAAGGCUUAGCCACUUCUCUCCUUCUUGUCCCACUGCCAUGACUUAAGUCCCUCUUCUCUUAUUUACUAUUUCUGAAACUCUUCUUGACUGGUCCCUGCUUCCAGUGUCUCCUACCCCAUUCCACUGUACAGCAGGCUGCCUUUCUCCUGUUAUAAGUCUUUUGAAGAUUUCCCUUCAGUUCUGAGACAAGUCCAACCUGCCAACCCUUGCACAGAAGCCUGUGACCUGUGACCUGGCCACACCUGAAGAUGCAGCCUCACUUCUCUCUGCCCAGAUGUCUCGCUCCUCAUCCCUGAGCUGCUUCAGGACACAGACCCUGGUACCUGUCACCAUCUCAGCAGAGAAGGUCCUCUCAUGACAUAACUCAUCAUCUUCUGCUCAUCCCACUGGCCUAGAAGAAUUACUCUUAACCUUAAAAAAACUAGUGCAUGUCACAUACAUACCAUUGAGUUCAGGCAGGUUCAGAACAAAAUGAAAAGCUAUUUCCUCUCUGCCCAAUCGAACCUCAAAACUUUCAGCAGAACAAAGGCGAUCAAGAUCACCCCACCUACUACCACAUCUUACAGAUUUAUGAGUGAACAAGCAAACACCGUGACUCAGGAGGGGCUGUCUCAAAGUCCAUCUUGUUGGUGACAGUGAAAUUAGAACCAGGGUCCCCAGGCUUUCAGUUUGGAGACUUUUCAUUACCUCCAAUGUCAGAUUUUCCAAAGGAGCCUCAAUUUAAAUCACAGCAGAAUUAAAACAAAGAAAGCAGCAACCGAGCCACAAAAGAAAGCUAAAAUAAAUCAGUAAAUAACCCCA
ensembl:lncRNA